GUUCCCAGUACUCCCCAGCUGUCCCUUGCCUGUGUCUCUGUUGUCCUCACCACAUCCUGACUCUUCCCAGUGUCCCCACCGCAUCCCUGGCUGUCCCUGCGUGUCCCUGGCGAGUCCCAGCUGUCCUCGAUGUGUCCCUGCACCCCGAGGCUGUUUCUCUAGCACAUCCCACUUGUCCCCGGUGUAUCCCGGCUGUCCCCAGGGUGUCCUUGCUGUCCCCGGUGCGUCCUGCCUGUCCCUGGACUGUCCCCAGCGUGUCCUGGCUGCCCCCAUAACAGCUCAGCAGGGUUGGGGACACUCGUGGCUGUCAUCCCCUGUCCCUGUGCUGGGCACGGGGACCCUGGUGUGGGGCAGGCCGGGGCCAGCCCAUCACAGCCACGCUGGCACGUCCUGGGCUGCGGUUUGGGCACGUGCCGUGUCCCCCACGCCGUGUCCCCACCGUGUCCGGGCCAGCGGGGACCCGGCGGCCGGGGGGUCCUGGGGAGGGGACGCGGGCUCUGGGUGGCCCUGGCUGUGUCCCCCUCCCCACAGGGACCCUCGCGCUGCCCCCGCGGGGCCCCAGGCUGGGGGAGGGGAGGCCGCGCUGUCCAUCUGUCGGGGCCCCCCCCGGCUGUGCCCGCCGGGGGCUUGGGGGGGCCGCGGGCUGCUCUUCCCCUCCAGACAGAGCCUCACUUCCCCCUGUGACGCAGCCGGAGCCGCCGGCCCCGGGGCCGCUUCCUGCGCGGGGGGCAGGCGAGGGGCCCACGGGCACCUCAGGGACAAUGGGGACCACAGGGACCCGCGUGGGUUCGCCCCACGGGCUGCAGGGGACGGGGACGGCACGUGCGAGGUCUGCCCGUGCCCCCCCAGACCUUCCCCUGGUCCCUCCAUCACCCCCAGACCCUCUUCUUGUCCCCCGCAUCACCCCCAGACCCUCCUCUUGUCCCCAGCGGGCUCCUUCGUCCUGCCGAGCGCCCCCAUCCCUGCCGCGGUGCCGUGGGGUCCGGGUGAACCGGGGACGCGUGGCCCCGUGUGAACCCCCAAACCCCAAACUUCACCCUCGAGGGGCGGGGGGUGGAGGCCACGGCCGGGGGUCACGGCUCGGUUCCGCGUCUGCAGCCCCGGGGGGCUCCCCGAGGGGUCCCCGAGCUCCGGGGAGUCCCUCCAGAGGGUGCGGGAUGCCCUGGGGGGAUCCCUCUGUGCUCUGCCCUGUGGCUCCGGCGGUGCCCGGUGCCUCGGGGGGAUUCCCG
rnacentral:lncRNA from 1 species